rnacentral:misc_RNA from 1 species
AUGUAAGUGGAAUUGUUUUUACAUUAUUGGAAGAUCAACCGGUCCAAUUUAUUUGCGGGUCCAAACCGAAAUGAUAGUUGAUCUUUCAAUAAUGUAAAAACAAUUCCACUUACAUAAAAAAAAACACUAGUAGUAACGAACCAGGGAACUUCGCAAUUUGAAAGAGAUUCAGGAGUUUAAAGAGGAUUUUGUACUAGAAAUUAAGUUCACAAUUCAAGAUACACCUUGACGGAGCUACUUGACAUAAAAUUAACUCUGACGAAUCAUGGUCCCAGCUUCAGGUUUCAUUGGUUGCACUUUCAGCAAACCUCUUGUUGAAGACCUUCCAUUUCUUCCAGAGACACCUUAGCAUCAAGGUUUCUUCAUCUCUUACGCUUAAGGGUCUUGAUAUUCUUCACAAU